UGGGGAAUAUUGGACAAUGGGCGCAAGCCUGAUCCAGCCAUGCCGCGUGUGUGAAGAAGGCCUUUUGGUUGUAAAGCACUUUAAGCGAGGAGGAGGCUACUUGGAUUAAUACUCUAGGAUAGUGGACGUUACUCGCAGAAUAAGCACCGGCUAACUCUGUGCCAGCAGCCGCGGUAAUACAGAGGGUGCGAGCGUUAAUCGGAUUUACUGGGCGUAAAGCGUGCGUAGGCGGCUUCUUAAGUCGGAUGUGAAAUCCCUGAGCUUAACUUAGGAAUUGCAUUCGAUUCUGGGAAGCUAGAGUAUGGGAGAGGAUGGUAGAAUUCCAGGUGUAGCGGUGAAAUGCGUAGAGAUCUGGAGGAAUACCGAUGGCGAAGGCAGCCAUCUGGCCUAAUACUGACGCUGAGGUACGAAAGCAUGGGGAGCAAACAGG
rnacentral:rRNA from 2 species